UACGUAGGGUGCGAGCGUGUCCGGAAUUAUUGGGCGUGAAAGAGCUCGUAGGCGGUUUGUCGCGUCGGCCGUGAAAUCUCCACGCUUAACGUGGAGCGUGCGGUCGAUACGGGCAGACUUGAGUUCGGUAGGGGAGACUGGAAUUCCUGGUGUAGCGGUGAAAUGCGCAGAUAUCAGGGAGGGAACACCGAUGGCGAAGGCAGGUCUCUGGGCAUUAACUGACGCUGAGGAGCGAAAGCAUGGGGAGCGAACAGG
rnacentral:rRNA from 1 species